rnacentral:pre_miRNA from 1 species
GAGAUACCCCUAUGGAGUAGUACUUGCUUCAGUUGGGUUUUGGUACUCACUGAGUUUGUCCCUUGAGUGUGUCUCU